rnacentral:rRNA from 1 species
AUGCGUGAUCAGGUCGUCCUGGACCUGGAUGGCUUCCCUCUCGACCACGAGUUUCCGGAGGACUACAGGCAAGAGGAAGAGGACGAGUGCGACAUCGAAGGGGAGCCUUUGUUUGAGGACGAGCUCGCCAACCAAACCGUCGGGGCGAAGCCGAAGCGCAAGAGCAAGCGGACCAAGGCAUACACGGCGGUCGAGGACAAGCUUCUUUGCGAGCGUUGGCGAGACAUUGGGCAAGACCCCAAGGCCGGCGCCAAACAAAAGCAUUCUACUUUUUGGACUCGUGUCCACCGUGAGUUCCAUGAGCGCAAGGAGUUUCUGCCGUACCAAAUAGUAAGCACGCGCGGGUGGGUGUCCAUUUCGAAGCGAUGGAGGGUGAUCCAACAAGAGUGCAAUAAGUUUUGUGCCACUCUUGAGAGCGUCAAGGCCCGCCCCGUGAGCGGCAUCGACAUGCAAGACAUGGUAUGCUAG